rnacentral:rRNA from 1 species
UAAACGUCCCAGUUCGGAUUGUAGUCUGCAACCCGACUCCACGAAGUUGGAUUCGCUAGUAAUCGCGCAUCAGCCAUGGCGCGGUGAAUACGUUCCCGGGCCUUGUACACACCGCCCGUCAAGCCAUGGGAGCCGGGGGCGCCUGAAGUCCGGGACCGCGAGGACCGGCCUAGGGCGAAACUGGUAACUGGGGCUAAGUCGUAACAAGGUAGC